rnacentral:rRNA from 1 species
GAUGAACGCUGGCGGCGUGCUUAACACAUGCAAGUCGAACGAUGAAGCCCAGCUUGCUGGGUGGAUUAGUGGCGAACGGGUGAGUAACACGUGAGUAACCUGCCCUUGACUCUGGAAUAAGCCUGGGAAACUGGGUCUAAUACUGGAUAUGACUUCUCAUCGCAUGGUGGGGGGUGGAAAGAUUUAUUGGUCUUGGAUGGACUCGCGGCCUAUCAGCUUGUUGGUGAGGUAAUGGCUCACCAAGGCGACGACGGGUAGCCGGCCUGAGAGGGUGACCGGCCACACUGGGACUGAGACACGGCCCAGACGCCUACGGGAGGCAGCAGUGGGGAAUAUUGCACAAUGGGCGCAAGCCUGAUGCAGCGACGCCGCGUGAGGGAGGACGGCCUUCGGGUUGGAAACCUCUGUCAGUAGGGAAGAAGCGAGAGUGACGGUACCUGCAGAAGAAGCGCCGGCUAACUACGUG